CACAGCUAGAGAAACAGAGUUCACAAUGCCUGGGAAAGGGAGAGAUAAGGCUCCCUAGCCACAGAAAAACAGGCAGUCAAUUUUUUUUUUUUUUUUUUUUUUUGAGAUGGAGUCUUGCUCUGUGGCCCAGGCUGGAGUGCGGUGGCGCGAUCUCGGCUCACUGCAAGCUCCGCCUCCUGGGUUCAUGCCAUUCUCCUGCCUCAGCCUCCCGAGUAGCUGGGACUAUAGGCGCCCGCCACCACGCCCAGCUAAUUUUUUGUAUUUUUAGUAGAGAUGGGGUUUCACCGUGUUAGCCAGGAUGUUCUCUAACUCCUGACCUCAGGUGAUCUGCCCACCUCAGCCUCCCAAAGUGCUGGGAUUACAGGCAUGAGCCACGGCGCCCGGCCUGCUUACACAUUUUUAAAUUUCUUUUAAUUCUUGUUCCACCUCAGCUUCCCAAAGUUAAAAAUUAUGUUUAUUAUCACUGAUAGAGAAUCUAAUUGCUUUCCAGUAGGAGGGGACUACAUAAAUUCUGGAGCACCAGCCUGCCACAGGGCUGGAGUGCAAUACGUCUUCAUGGCUCACUGCAGCCUCAACCUCCCAGGCACAAGCGAUCCUCCCAUCUCAGCCUCCUGAGGAGCUGAGGCCACAGGUGCAUGCCACCAUACCCAGGAGCAGAACCCUGCUGGAGAGGGAAGCUGGUACCAACAGCCCCAGAUGCCUCCCCCAAAGGGGAAGGACCCCAAAGGAGUGGGCCACUCACGGACUCAUGGCGGUAAAUCUUGACCAUGCAAUCAACGAUGCCCCGAUGGCCUCUCACUAUGUUCCCCAGGCUGGUCUUGAACUCCUGGCCUCAGGCGAUCCUCCUGCUUUGGCCUCCCAAAGUGCUGUGGUUUUAAAUGUGCUGUUCUCCUGGGCUUCUUUCUCUUUCCCCUCUUCCUUAACUCACCAAAUAAACCACAACAGACACUUUCUGAGGGCAGGGCCAUGUCUCCCCUGUCUCCAUCCCCUGACCUAGCACAAGCCCCGCAUCCAGUAAGCAUUCAAAACAACACUGAACUCUUCUGCUCCCGCUUCACUCCAGCUGGGUCGAGAGGCCAUGGAGAUACAGUGUGUCCUGGUCUGAGGGUCCCAGAGCUGAGAACCAGGAAGGAGAUGCCUGCUCCCACUGGACACCCUUCCCUGCAGCCCACAUCUGAGCUUCCUCAAGUCCUUAGGUCACAUUGGCAAGGCAGAUGUGAUGUCAUGGGCUCAGCUGUGGGGCAGUGUGGAUCAUAGGAGGGCAGGCAGAGCUGGUUCACAUACCGAAGAAGGCUGGACUGGGUCAGGAGCUAGAGCUGCUUUCCAAUCCCAGGGAACCAAGAUGAGGAAAACUGAGGCCCAGAGGAGACGGGACUUCUCCAGGAUGAGUCUGGGCCAGGACUCAUUCUCCUGACCACUGCCGAGAGCGCCACGGUACAGGCCGCUGCCAGCGCCGCAUGGAUCCCUGGCACGUGCCAGGAAGUGUCCAUUUCACAGGCAGGGAACUAGCCCGAAUACCCAGCGUGGGCAUGCCAACGCCCCUAGCCUGAUUCUCGAAUCUUCGCCAAACCCUCUUACAGGCCAACAGUCGGGGCCUUUGUGAAGGGAAACUCGCCCUGGGUCACUAGGGUGG